rnacentral:tRNA from 2 species
CCCGCCCUAGCUCAGAGGUAGAGCGUGCUUCUCUAAAAAGCAUGGUCCCCGGUUCAAAUCCUGGGGGCGGGACCA